rnacentral:rRNA from 1 species
UACAGAGGUCCCAAGCGUUGUUCGGAUUUACUGGGCGUAAAGGGAGCGUAGGUGGCAUUCUAAGUCUGGUGUGAAAGCUCUGAGCUUAACUCAGAAAUGGCAUUAGAUACUAGUUUGCUUGAGGAUUGGAGGGGAGAUUGGAAUACUUGGUGUAGCAGUGAAAUGCGUAGAUAUCAAGUGGAACACCAGUGGCGAAGGCGGCUACCUGGCCCAAUACUGACACUGAGGCACGAAAGCUAGGGUAGCAAACGGG